AUGCCGCCCCGACGCCGCGGCCGCGGCCGCCGCCGAGCACAGAGCCCAGAGCCCACCUCCCGUCCUCCCUCGCCGCCGCCUUUCAUGCCAGAGCUCACCUCCUGUCCUCCCUCGCCGCCGCCUCCCAUGCCACAGCGCACCUCCUCCCAUGGAAAUCUCCCAGCAACUUCCGCCGCCGCCUCGACGGGCGACCUGAUGCCUGCCUCCUCCUAUGGAAAUCCCCAAGCAACUUCUGCCGCCGCCUCGACGGGCGACGUGAUGCCUGCCUCCUCCUAUGGAAAUCUCCAAGCAACUUCCGCCGCCGCCUCGGCGGGCGACCUGAUGCCUGCCUCCCAAGAUAGGCCUCACGCCUCCCCCUCCCCCUCCACCGGCGACGCUCUCCGUCCACGGCUGCACAUGUCAAGAUGGCGCGAGGAGAGGGAAAGAGAGACAGCACUGUUGGAGACUUCCUCUUCCUCUAUGCCACAAGCUACAAGGCAUGAGGAGAGGGAAAGAGAGACAACACUGGAGGAGACUUCCUCUUCCUCUACACAAACUACAAGGUUUAAGGUGCCAGAUCUCUUGUCAUUGAAGCUUGACAUAAAUCUCUUGGCUGAUUCAUGUAUUUCGACAUUGGUGCCCACUGGUCUUAUGAUAAAAUAUUUUGUGAGAGUUGACAAUGAUGGAAUUUUCCAUACGUAUCCUGACCGUGGUGGACCAUUUGAGAGCAUAAAGGAAGUUCAGGAAGCCAUUGACUCCCACCAUGCUGUUCAGCGAAAAAACAUAUGCAUGGAUGGACUUACCGACGAGGAGAGGGCUAUCCGAUAUGCUCUUUACUGGUAUCAUAAUGGCACACGAAAGCACUCCUAA
rnacentral:rRNA from 1 species